UGUGUGCUAUGGUAAACGCCUGUGGGUGAACACAGUCAAUGUUAUUAGCAGGAAGCAACUGGACCUAGCGGAGCCCAAGCGCUGCUUCUGCUGCUCAGCCAAGUGGAUCGGCUUUGUCUCCGGUGACUUUCCGCAGAAGCUGAGCUGCAAGCACAGAGGACCAAGCAAAGCCAGAAGGCUGCUGGCACCUAUGGACUCGGGUCUCUCCGGGGUGUUGCUAAGAGGGACGAUUUGCACACGGCACAAAGUCCAAAAGCACCUGAUCAGCUACUCGAACUCUGAAAACUGGCAAAACCUCAGUGUGAGUCACAGGAAGCAGGUCGUUUGCUCUGGAAUCUUCCUUCAAAUGUCUUCAUCAUUUGCAUGAUGACCCCACAGGUGUAUGCAACUCAACUAUAUUAACAUCAAGAGGAGCCCCAAGCUGGAGAGUGGAAUCCAGGCCAGCUUCACUGAGCAGUUACGAAGGAACCCUCCAGCGGAGGCUGAAAACUGCUGCAGGCCAGCCAACUGCACCUUCAGGCUCUGAGCUGCUCACAAGACAGAGGAACCCACAUCCUUCUGGCAACUUCCAUCUCUGAGAAAACACUUGGAACUCCCAGGCGAGAAGAAGCUAGCCAAAGUGCUUAUUGAUCUUGAUCGAAUAUCUAAUUUCAAAAGGCCCCACUGAAUUGUUUCCCAGCUGUCAGCAGAUCAGAAACGGAGGGAGCACGGAGAAGCCAUGAGGGCUGGGGAGGGCAGGGUGUGGAGGCGUAAGUGAUUUAGCCAGCCGGGUCCCAUGGCCAUACAUGGAAUAGCAGACAAGAGCAGAGGAAGAGAGGGGAAAGUUAAACAAACCCGACUUGGGUCACUCCACGUUGUACAGCUCACACACUUCUUGAAUGAUUAUACCACACCUCAUUCAAUAUGUGCCACUGUCAGCUUUCAAUUCUCUAAUGAAAUUAAAAAAAGCGAUCCAGCAUUCCCAGAG